rnacentral:misc_RNA from 1 species
UCCGGUUUGUCACCGGCAGUCACCUUAGAGUGCCCAACUGAAUGCUGGCAACUAAGAUCAAGGGUUGCGCUCGUUGCGGGACUUAACCCAACAUCUCACGACACGAGCUGACGACAACCAUGCACCACCUGUCACCACUGUCCCCGAAGGGAAAGGUAUAUCUCUAUACCGGUCAGUGGGAUGUCAAGACCUGGUAAGGUUCUUCGCGUUGCUUCGAAUUAAACCACAUGCUCCACCGCUUGUGCGGGCCCCCGUCAAUUCCUUUGAGUUUCAGUCUUGCGACCGUACUCCCCAGGCGGAGUGCUUAAUGCGUUUGCUGCAGCACUAAAGGGCGGAAACCCUCUAACACUUAGCACUCAUCGUUUACGGCGUGGACUAC